rnacentral:lncRNA from 12 species
UUAUUAAUUCUAUAAAUAAAUGUAUUGGUUUGGUAUAAUAAAUUGAUUAUUAGAGUGAGUAAUUAAUUACUAGUAAAGUUAAGGUAACAUUAAUAAUUAGCAAAUUCACUGCAAUAGUUCAAGAACUACUGCAAGGUACAUUCACUGGUUCUUUCCAUUCUCUUACCUCAGGAUGCAGGCCCCCACUGGUGUUUCUCCAACUCUCUUAUUUUCUCAAUUUCAGAAAGUACUGCCUGGCAAAUUGAGCCUUCUGUGGGUUUGUGACAUUUGGGAGGGUACUUUUUUUUUUUUUUUUUUUUGCCUUGCUGUUGGUCUGGAGGAAAGACUCCAAGGAAGCUCCAUGGAUGUCGAGAUGCUCGGGAAACAGUGCUGCUUUCCAGGCCCUGGGCAAGCUCACUUGUUCUGUCCAGGAAUGAGGGACAGCAGAUUCAGACAGAGCAGAGGGUGGUUUCAGGGCAGAACAGAAGCCGAUGCCCCGCACAAGGCAACUGAGAAACCCGUUCGAGAAGGGUCUUGAUAAUGGAUGGAUAGAUAUGUAGUAGGUUAUUAAGGAAAAUCAGGGAAGUUCCAGUUACAUCUCUGGCCUUUCAGGGUGGUGUCUUAGAAUGCAAACACUGGACUGUCCCUCGCACUUUCCUCAGCAUUGUGGUCGGAAUUCUAGGCCAGCGGCUUUUGGUCUGAUCUACGAUGACAUUUCUGAUCUUCUUGAACAUAUCGGACCCAAAAAGGUCACGCUAGAACACCCAAAAGAGCAGGUGAGCUGCCUCCAGGGCCAGGCUGUACCCUGAACACAGCUCCAGAUUUAGGACACGAGUUCUUCAAGCGUGCCACACCGAGUGCAUCGGCACCUGCUAAAUACAGACUUUCAGUGUGGGUCACGCUAACGGUGAUGACGCCCAUGGCAGCAGAAGUGAACACGUCCAUCUCCUUUGUUCCAAGAUAGAUAAGUGGGGGCAAUCUCAUCGGGAAGGUCAUUUUCCAAAUGCAUCAUCCAGGAAAGUUCCCUUGGCUCCAAGUAUGGGGUAGUUUGCAGAUACUUCGACCUUGGCCAGCUCCACUCUCAGCCUUCGGGUUACAUGCCAUUACUGAGGGGGCUUCCAGAGGCACGUCCCCCCUAGGGACUCAGCAGCAGGGAUGCUUUAGGUUCAGAGCUCAGGAUCCCCACCCCGUCUCCCAUUCCUCCUUCCUUCUUUCCCUCUCCCUCUUUUUCUCCUGCCCUUCCUGCCUCUCCCCUUCCUCUUCUCCAUUCAUCCUUCUUCCUGUUCCCUGGCUUUUGUUUACGAGCCUUCUUGCUGUGACACAGAUGACCCUGCCAGGACUUCCUGGAUAUCGCAGGAGGGAAGAUGUGUCAGUGAGAUGCAGGGCCUCCCCUUUUCUUCUCCCUUCUGCCGGGACAGAACUCACAGCGCUGGUAAAAACAGAUUGA